CAUCCUCUGCCGUGGCCGACAGCGUACGCCACAUUUGCCUUGUCCCUUAAUGACGACCGCGGGGGCCUGGCAGCGGCGAUCGUGAGCAUGUCCGCCACGUGCGGAAAGCCUGACAUCGUCGUCCACGCCUCCACCUGAUCCUCGGGAUCAAGGUCGUUGCGUACGCAUCGCCAUGGCGGAGGAUGC
rnacentral:other from 1 species